rnacentral:rRNA from 1 species
UAAGGUGGUUAUACUGGAUGUGCUCCACCUGUUCCCAUUCCGAACACAGAAGUGAAAUUAUCCAAGGCCGAUGGUAGUCCUUUUGGGCGAGAGUAGGUAGCCGCCUUAC